rnacentral:rRNA from 1 species
UAAAAAAAGGUAAGCUACUAAGAGCGAAUGGUGGAUGCCUUGACUGGUAAAGGCGAUGAAGGACGUACUAGACUGCGAUAAGCUACGGGGAGCUGUCAAGAAGCUUUGAUCCGUAGAUUUCCGAAUGGGGCAACCCAAUGUAUAGAGAUAUACAUUACCUAUAUAGGAGCGAACGAGGGGAAUUGAAACAUCUUAGUACCCUCAGGAAAAGAAAUCAAUAGAGAUUGCGUCAGUAGCGGCGAGCGAAAGCGCAAGAGGGCAAACCCAGUGCUUGCACUGGGGGUUGUAGGACUGCAAUGUGCAAGAGCUGAGUUUAGCAGAACAUUCUGGAAAGUAUAGCCAUAGAGGGUGAUAGUCCCGUAUGCGAAAAACAAAGCUUAGCUAGCAGUAUCCUGAGUAGGGCGGGACACGAGGAAUCCUGUCUGAAUCCGGGUCGACCACGAUCCAACCCUAAAUACUAAUACCAGAUCGAUAGUGCACAAGUACCGUGAGGGAAAGGUGAAAAGAACUGAGGUGAUCAGAGUGAAAUAGAACCUGAAACCAUUUGCUUACAAUCAUUCAGAGCACUAUGUAGCAAUACAGUGUGAUGGACUGCCUUUUGCAUAAUGAGCCUGCGAGUUGUGGUGUCUGGCAAGGUUAAGCAAACGCGAAGCCGUAGCGAAAGCGAGUCUGAAUAGGGCGCUUAGUCAGAUGCUGCAGACCCGAAACGAAGUGAUCUAUCCAUGAGCAAGUUGAAGCUAGUGUAAGAACUAGUGGAGGACUGAACCCAUAGGCGUUGAAAAGCCCCGGGAUGACUUGUGGAUAGGGGUGAAAGGCCAAUCAAACUUCGUGAUAGCUGGUUCUCUCCGAAAUAUAUUUAGGUAUAGCGUUGUGUCGUAAUAUAAGGGGGUAGAGCACUGAAUGGGCUAGGGCAUACACCAAUGUACCAAACCCUAUCAAACUCCGAAUACCUUAUAUGUAAUCACAGCAGUCAGGCGGCGAGUGAUAAAAUCCGUCGUCAAGAGGGAAACAACCCAGACUACCAGCUAAGGUCCCUAAAUCUUACUUAAGUGGAAAACGAUGUGAAGUUACUUAAACAACCAGGAGGUUGGCUUAGAAGCAGCCAUCCUUUAAAGAAAGCGUAAUAGCUCACUGGUCUAGUGAUUUUGCGCGGAAAAUAUAACGGGGCUAAAGUAAGUACCGAAGCUGUAGACUUGCACACAACUUAGAUUAUUUAAGUUUAGAAUAUGAGAAACUAAGUUAUAUGUUUAGUUAUAUUUUUACUGAUUUUUAUAGAGUAAAGAUAGAAAUAAAACUUAGUAAAAUCAGUAAAAAUAUUCUUAGGCUAAAGUUAAGUAGUUUAAGUUGUGUGCAAGUGGUAGGAGAGCGUUCUAUUUGCGUCGAAGGUAUACCGGUAAGGAGUGCUGGAGCGAAUAGAAGUGAGCAUGCAGGCAUGAGUAGCGAUAAUUAAUGUGAGAAUCAUUAACGCCGUAAACCCAAGGUUUCCUACGCGAUGCUCGUCAUCGUAGGGUUAGUCGGGUCCUAAGUCGAGUCCGAAAGGGGUAGACGAUGGCAAAUUGGUUAAUAUUCCAAUACCAACAUUAGUGUGCGAUGGAAGGACGCUUAGGGCUAAGGGGGCUAGCGGAUGGAAGUGCUAGUCUAAGGUUGUAGGAGGUUAUACAGGCAAAUCCGUAUAACAAUACUCCGAGAACUGAAAGGCUUUUUGAAGUCUUCGGAUGGAUAGAAGAACCCCUGAUGCCGUCGAGCCAAGAAAAGUUUCUAAGUUUAGCUAAUGUUGCCCGUACCGUAAACCGACACAGGUGGGUGGGAUGAGUAUUCUAAGGCGCGUGGAAGAACUCUCUUUAAGGAACUCUGCAAAAUAGCACCGUAUCUUCGGUAUAAGGUGUGGUUAGCUUCGUACUAGGAUUUACUCCGAAAGCGAAGAAACUUACAACAAAGAGUCCCUCCCGACUGUUUACCAAAAACACAGCACUCUGCUAACUCGUAAGAGGAUGUAUAGGGUGUGACGCCUGCCCGGUGCUCGAAGGUUAAUUGAUGGGGUUAGCAUUAGCGAAGCUCUUGAUCGAAGCCCGAGUAAACGGCGGCCGUAACUAUAACGGUCCUAAGGUAGCGAAAUUCCUUGUCGGUUAAAUACCGACCUGCAUGAAUGGCGUAACGAGAUGGGAGCUGUCUCAAAGAGGGAUCCAGUGAAAUUG